CAAAUACAUGCAACAAGAUCUUCAUAAAAAUAAAAAAACAAACCACAAGUUGUGAAUGGAAAUUUCACACCUGAAUACAGAUCAGCCAGUGGCUCCGGUGAUGUACUGGACAGCAGCUGAAAAAGUAAAGGGGCCAGUGUGAAUGAUGGCUCAUAAAGACCAUGUACCAUUAUGGAUCAUCCUACUGGCAUCAAUCAAGGUUUGUUACCAGAUACAUGUAACUAAUAACACCUUAAAUUUUCUUCUUAAAAAGCCUAACAUUACAUUUUUAAGUAAUCACCCAAAUGCUGUUAAUCUUACCUGGGAUACAGAGGUAACAUCUGAAAUAGAUGGCUAUGAGAUUUGUUAUAAUUUCUCCUAUCGAUUUUUGGAUAAAACAACUUGGAAAAAGGAGAUAUUGACAGAGAACUACAGAAUUGUUUAUCGCCAUCUACAUACGGGGUUCAUAGUAUCAUUAUCAAAUGCACUUUGUGA